rnacentral:rRNA from 1 species
CAAGGUAAGCCGGGAGCUAAGGCGAGGCCGAGAGGCGUAGUCGAUGCACAUACGGUAAAGAUUCCGUAGCCACCGAAGUCGUUAAAUACAGGGACACAGGAACAUAGCCUAACCCCACCGUUGGUUGAGUGGGGCGUAAGGGAGCGAAAAUUAGUAGCGAAGUAGGUGAUUGUACACUGGCGAGAAAAGCUGUAUGGAUUGACAAGGUGCCCGUACCGCAAACCGACACAGGUAGAUGAGGAGAGAAUCCUAAGACCAGCGGGAGAAGUGUUGUUAAGGAACUCGGCAAAAUGACCCCGUAACUUCGGGAUAAGGGGAGCCUACGCGAGUAGGCCGCAGAGAAUAGUCUCAAGCGACUGUUUAGCAAAAACACAGGUCUAUGCUAAAUCGAAAGAUGAUGUAUAUGGGCUGACGCCUGCCCGGUGCUGGAAGGUUAAGGGGAAGUGUUAGAGUAAUCGAAGCACUGAACUUAAGCCCCAGUAAACGGCGGCCGUAACUAUAACGGUCCUAAGGUAGCGAAAUUCCUUGUCAGGUAAGUUCUGACCCGCACGAAUGGCGUAACGACUUGAGAGCUGUCUCAACAACAUACCCGGCGAAAUUGAAGUACUGGUAAAGAUGCCAGUUACCCGUGAUAAGACGGAAAGACCCCAUGGAGCUUUACUGUAACUUGAUAUUGAAUUUUUGUAUUACAUGUACAGGAUAGGUGGGAGACAGAGAACUAAUGCCGCCAGGUGUUAGGGAGUCGAUGUUGGGAUACCACUCUUGUAAUAUGAAGGUUCUAACCUGCACCCGUGAAUCCGGGUGGGGGACACUGUCAGGUGGACAGUUUGACUGGGGCGGUCGCCUCCUAAAAGGUAACGGAGGCGUUCAAAGGUUGGUUCAGCACGGACGGAAAUCGUGCAACGAGUGCAAACGCAUAAACCAGCCUAACUGCGAGACCGACAAGUCGAGCAGUAACGAAAGUUGGAGUUAGUGAUCCGGCGGUAUGAGAGUGGAAUUGCCGUCGCUCAACGGAUAAAAGCUACCCUGGGGAUAACAGGCUGAUCUCCCCCAA